AACCCAUAGUGAGGGCAUCUUCUCAAGAGGUCAAUGUAUCACUCCCAUGCAUCGUAAAGUGUUUCUAAAUCCAUCUGCACAAAAGAUGAGAUAUCAUUACGAAAUUU
rnacentral:snoRNA from 1 species